rnacentral:rRNA from 1 species
CAGCAGCCGCGGUAACACGAAGGGGGCUAGCGUUGUUCGGAUUUACUGGGCGUAAAGCGCACGUAGGCGGAUCCUUAAGUCGGAGGUGAAAUCCCAAGGCUCAACCUUGGAACUGCCUUUGAUACUGGGGAUCUCGAGUUCGGGAGAGGUGAGUGGAACUGUGAGUGUAGAGGUGAAAUUCGUAGAUAUUCGCAAGAACACCAGUGGCGAAGGCGGCUCACUGGCCCGAUACUGACGCUGAGGUGCGAAAGCGUGGGGAGCAAACAGGAUUAGAUACCCGCGUAGUCCCUGUCUCUUAUAC